GCAGCCCACUGCUGACCAGCGCUCACUGCCGCACGCUGCACUGCCACUGAAAGCUGACCACCGCAGACAACUGGCGGCGGUCAGAGGGACAUCAACGCCGCAGCAACGAAGGACAGCUUAGUACCGCCGCAUCCCCUGCAGACCAUGGGCUCAUCUGCCACCGACAACCACAGUCCCUUCCGCACCUCCGCUGCACAUACCAGGUUCCAGUUCCUGUCUCCAAGCUUCCACUAAAGAGACCCGCUCCAGUCUACCAUCUGCGGUGCAGCCUGACUCUCCAGUCCUCUGGGACUCAUCUGUUUCCAGCUACAGAUUCACUUGCUUCCAGCACUUAGCUUCCAGCAGAGAUCAGCUCUUCUUAAAGUGCCGGUACCAUUUCUGCAGAUUUCCAUUUACCACCGGUACUAUUAUUUCACUGCUCUCAAGCUCCAUAUAUCAUUCAUAUUUCAUCGCUCUCAAGCUUCAUUUAUUAUUUGGCUGGUUCUAUCCAGUAAUCCACUCCGUGUCUACAUCUGUCUGGUUCCAACCAGUACCCACAGCAGCCACUUUAUCUACAGCAGCCCAGCUUCCCAUGGAACAUCAGCUGGUAUGAUCCUGGGCUAUCUCCAUUACUACAGUCGGGCCUGGUAAGGACUUUCCAUCUAGAAGAUAAUAAGAACUGUCUCAUACUAUCAGAGCCCUGUGGCCAUUGCCAUCCUGUAGUUCCCAGGAACUGUGUCAUUUAACUGCUGAUUUUAUGUUUCUCUUUUAGUUUGUCAAAUAAACAACAUUGACUUUUA